rnacentral:lncRNA from 1 species
UUUCCCUUUAAUUUUAUUAUGGAUUAAGAACUUAAUGUGCCAAAACUUAACUUGUCUACACUAAGUCAAAAUACCAUUUUACCAUACUUUAUACUAAGAUUUUAAGAAUUCAUUGUGCCAAACUCCUAUGUGUGUCUACAAUAAAUCAAAAUUUCAAAAUAUAAAAUAUGGGUAAAAUUAAAUAGAAAAUGAUUCAAUUUAUAAAAUUAAAACUGGAAUUUGAUUAAAUCAUAUUUCUAACUAUGAAUAGUUAGUUAAACAUUUUUGAAAUAACAAAAAUUAUUAAAAUUGAAAAACACAAAAUUAAGAAAAUAGAAUUUUAAAAUUGAAAUAAAACUAAUUUUAUUGAUUGAUAAUAUAUUAUAAAGAGAGAUGAGAAGAAGAAAUUGAGGGGAAAGAAGAGAAGAGAAUGUGUGUAGAGGUGUGUUCCACCCUCCUCUAUUUAUACUAAUACAUGGUUAAUCCACACCACACAAAUAAAUAAAACUAAUUGCAUCUUAGCCUUAUAUUUGUCCCACUAAUAAAACACAAACCUAACUUAAUCCACUAAUGCAUAUCCAACACAUUCCACUAACAAUUACCAUAAAGUAGUGUACUAGGGUAUAUACAUAAUCAUUUUACAUAACUCUGUACUAAAUGUAAUACAUCAGCAAACUUGGAAAUCAUACAUUUACUACAAAACUGCACCAAAUAAUACCUAGAGGAAAUAACUCUCAAUACUUACCGGGAUCAUCAUCGCAUGAGUAGAGGGUGGAAAACCUCUCAAUAUCUAACAAAAUUUAACUACAUCAUACAGGUAAAGUAAUCUAACUCUCAAUACACAAUGCACAUAGCUUAUGGGGAAGACUACAUAUAUGGUGAUUGGCAAUCACAUAUCAUGACUCAAUUAAAUAUAUAAUAUGUGUAUAUAAAAUCAUAACAUAAUAUAAAAUCAUAUUAUCAAUCAUAAAUGCUUCACAAAAUACAAAAUGGUAAUAAUACUAUCUACUCACAGAUUUUGUUUCACUCGGGGUCCGUUGGGACUCUUGUGGGUUCCCAGAUUCUUGAAUUUCUCCUAAAAUGCAGGAUUCAAAAAUUAACUGUUAGAACUGAUAUAGAAACUAAUACGUACGAUGUAAAUUAAAUAAUAACUUCUUAUAUUUCACAAAUCUAUUACCCAUUGACUCACUUAAUAUAGAUCUAACGGUCCAAUUCUAUUUCCUAUAAUAUUUCCCUCAAUUCCACUUUUCAAAUUCUUUUCCACUCACAACUUCUUAAUUUUCUUUUUCUCUUUUCCCACUAUCGGCUUCUUUCUUUUCCCACUCUCGGCUUUUUCUUUUCUUUUAUCUCCUCUACUUUCUUAUUUCUCUCAUGUUUCUUUUAUUCAUUCUCAGUGCUCAAAUUUGAUAAAAUGAAGCAGCUAUCAAAAAUUUGCAUUUAUAUAGCCACCAAACAGCCACCGAAUGUAAGCAAGUAGCUCUCACUUUUUAAAUAUAUGUAGGCACCGCUUGAAGCAAGAGAACAUGUAGCUAGCUACUUCCAAUUGCCUGCACUUGUGCUGUAUAAUUGUAAAAUUGGACUUGGGUUUGAGAGGCCUCUUCAAUGCUUUCUAUUAUCUCGUAAUUAUUGUUAUUAGAAUAUUCCAACCUAGUCUACGUACAACUGCAUUCUUCACUCGUCCUCAUCGUAGGCCUCUCUACUUCUCUAUGCCUCGGUCACAUUGCCUCGAGCACAUGGUGCUUAAUACUCCAAGAAGAGCCUUCACCUUAACACUCCAAGAAGAGCCUUCACCUUAAUACUUCAAUUGUCUUUGUUGCUUCCCUUUGAUAAUGGAACUUCCAAUAAUGCAAUGCAACUAUUUGCCACAACUCUUAGGCUCUGUUUGGUAUUGAGGUGGUGUAGCAUAAAAGGUACAAAUGCUAUAGA